AGUGAACGCUGGCGGUAGGCCUAACACAUGCGAGUCGAACGGCAGCACAGUAAGAGCUUGCUCUUACGGGUGGCGAGUGGCGGACGGGUGAGGAAUACAUCGGAAUCUACUUUUUCGUGGGGGAUAACGUAGGGAAACUUACGCUAAUACCGCAUACGACCUACGGGUGAAAGCAGGGGAUCUUCGGACCUUGCGCGAUUGAAUGAGCCGAUGUCGGAUUAGCUAGUUGGCGGGGUAAAGGCCCACCAAGGCGACGAUCCGUAGCUGGUCUGAGAGGAUGGUCAGCCACACUGGAACUGAGACACGGUCCAGACUCCUACGGGACGCAGCAGUGGGGAAUAUUGGACAAUGGGCGCAAGCCUGAUCCAGCCAUACCGCGUGGGUGAAGAAGGCCUUCGGGUUGUAAAGCCCUUUUGUUGGGAAAGAAAAGCAGCAGGUUAAUACCCCGCUGUUCUGACGGUACCCAAAGAAUAAGCACCGGCUAACUUCGUG
rnacentral:rRNA from 1 species